rnacentral:rRNA from 1 species
UACAGAGGUCUCAAGCGUUUGUUCGGAUUCAUUGGGCGUAAAGGGUGCGUAGGCGGCGCGGUAAGUCGGGUGUGAAAUCUUGGAGCUUAACUCCGAAACUGCAUUCGAUACUGCCGUGCUUGAGGACUGGAGAGGAGACUGGAAUUUACGGUGUAGCGGUGAAAUGCGUAGAUAUCGUAAGGAAGACCAGUGGCGAAGGCGGGGUCUCUGGACAGUUCCUGACGCUGAGGCACGAAGGCCAGGGGGAGCAAACGGGG